rnacentral:lncRNA from 1 species
CUUGGGCAAGGGACUUAACCUCUCUGUGCCUCAGUUUCCACAUCUAUAAAAUGGAGCCAAUACUAGUGUCUCCCUUCUAGUAAGUUGUGCGAUUCGGUGGGAUAGCACCUGAAUCAGUGGGAUCGUAGGCGCUGCUGUGCUUAUAAUCAAUGCUUGAUAAACAUUAGCUGCAGUGCCUAUUAGAGAAGCAAACAGUAACUUAUGUUGCUAUAGAACCUGCGUUUCAGGGCAAAAAUUCUUUGAAGAGAGGCAGUACUUUCAGCCUCUCAAGGUACUUUGUGACUUGCUAGAGCUUCACAGGGACACAGGUUGGGCUAAAAUUAUGGCUUGUGAGGCCUUCAUUUCCUGAUCUGUGAAAGGGAAUAAUAGCAGUGCUGACCUCACAGGGGUGUCUGAGCAUCGUAUGAAAUCAUGCACAUAAAACACUUACUCUGUGCUUUAUAUGCACUUAACAUACAUUACAUGUUAUUAUUUUCUGACAGUGGAGGACAAUGACAGCCAGUUUCACCUGUGGUCACACCAUAAGUGCCUAGCACAACACCUAGCACCUGGGGAACGUGCUCUUGCCGUCCUCGGUGGGCCCGGGGCGGGGAAGGGGGGGCGGCAGCAUGGUGACCCAGUUACACAUACAUAUAUACAUUCUUUUUCUUACAUUAUCAGGCUCUAUCAUAAGUGACCAGACAUAGUUCCCAGGGCUACACAGCAGGACCUCAUUGCUAAUUCAUUCCAAAGGCAACAGUCUGCAUCUAUUAAUCCCACGCUCCCAAACCAUCCCACUCCCUCCCCCUUGGCAACCACAAGUCUAUUCUUCAAGUCCACGAUUUUCUUUUCUGUGGAAAGAUCUAUUUGUGCUGUAUAUUAGAUUCCAGAUAUAAGUGAUAUCAUGUGGUAUUUGUCUUUCUCUUUCUGACUUUACUCAGUAUGAGAGUCUCUAGUUCCAUCCAUGUUGCUGCAAAUGGCAUUAUUUUGUUCUUUUUUAUGGCUGAGUAGUAUUCCAUUGUGUAUAUAUACCACAUCUUCCAAAUCCAAUCAUCUGUCGAUGGCCAUUUGGGUUGUUUCCAUGUCUUGGCUAUUGUGAAUAGUGCUGCAAUGAACAUGCGGGUGCAUGUGUCUUUUUUAAGGAAAGUUUUGACUUAAUCAGGAAGUUCCUGUUGUGAUGGAGGCUGUAAUUCAAACCCAGGCUCUUGACCGUAUGCUCUGUUGGCCCUGGAACUUACUAAUACUAUUGUAAUUUUUUCAUCACACCAUUUGACAGGUGAGGAAACUGAGGCAGAUCUUGUCCUGGGCUCUUGCCAGUCCCACGUUGUUCCUUAACCUACCUGGAGGAGAAAGAGAGAGAGGGGUAGGAGGGUGGAAGGGUUUAAGCGUCACUGUUAGAGGCCGGAGACUGAGGCAGCAGCUGCUUCAUCCCGAGUGGAGGUUGAGUCAAGGGAGGACGCCUCCCUGGCCUCAGGGAGACCAAAGCACGGGGUUGCCGCUUCUGCCAGAGGAAGACAAGACCCCCAGGCGGCCAGGAGUGCCAAAGCCAGCACUGCUUUCUGUCCGCACAGAGCUGAGUCCCCCCCUGGCUCCCCAGACAGCCCCUCCUCCAGAAAGUCCUCCUGGUCUCUCCCUCUAUUCCCAGGACUUCCGAGAGAGUCACCCAUGCUCCCAGAUGCUCCUCUGCCUUCAUUAAGAACUUUCCUAGCCAGAUUGUAAGCCCCCCGAGAACAGAAGCGGGUCUCCUGUGUCUGGAACUCUCAGGGAACCCUGGGUGACAUUUCUACACCCAGGAUGUCCAGAGCUUGAGAUCUGAGCCAGGGGUUCACGUCUUGGCUCUGCCACCUGCUGGCUGCAUGACCUCGUGCCAGUACCUUCCCUCCUGCCUCGGUUUCCCCACAUGUUAAGAAGUGACAGUGUGUUUGUCUGGAGUAUCUGUUAAUAGAUUUAACAACUGAGAUAUCAACCAAUCAGAACAACCAGAGCAGGGUCCCUAGGGACUCCCCUGCUAGGCCAGGCUUUAACCCUUUAUUUGCUGAAUUGUGGGGGAGGUCCCACCCAAGGCAGCAAAGGGGGCGAAUGACAGCAAAUCACUUACCAGUCCUUGGAGAGUUUCGAGCUUUUCCUAAACAACAGGAAGCUCAAAGUACCCACAUAAUUAAUAACUGCCAUUAUUAUUAGGGUACAAUGCGUUAGUUCAAUAUUUAACCUCCCCCCGCCCCCGCCGCCAUCAUUCAACCUAAACCAAUCACCAAAUGCUUCCCCACACAGCCUCUCACUGGCUGGCUCUCACUCAUGACACGAGUGAGUGACUGAUUUCACAUCUGGCCUGGAAGAAGCGGGGCAGUUUCCUCUUUUUGCUCCUUUGCUGGACAGGGAAUCGGGGACUCGGACCACCCAGACUGGGUUGGAGGCGUCCUCUGAGUUCCCUGGGCCUCCACCCUCUGCUUGCUCCAUCCCGUCUUGUGCUCAUCACACUGGUGGCCAUUGUCCAGGCUGUGUCUGUGUCCUCCUCCAGACCUGAACUCCAGCCACCAGAAACCACAACUGUCCAGUUCGCCUCUGUGGCUCCAGUGCCUGGAACAGAGCCUGGUACGUUGAAGGUGCUUGGUCCUUUUUUUGUUAAAUGAUUGGAGGAAUGAACAAAAGAAUGAAUGAUGCACAGUAGGGGUGAUGCUGCCUGUUACGGCCACAGAAUUAAGACUUCAACUCCAAGGCAUGGUGCCAUCUUUCUGGGUCCUUCACUCCUGCCUCCUUUUGACAAUGACAGUGGUUUUGACUUCCAGGUUUUCCCACCAAGGGCUGGGGACCCAAGCAGGCUUCCUCCUGGGUCAUCCAACAGUCACACGCUUUCAUGUCGUUGUCUGGAAGGAAUCAGCCCUCAGCAGCAACUACGGCCAACAGUGAUGACCAUGACAGCAGCAACCACUUAUCGAGUGCCACCUCUGUGCCAGGCGCCAUCCCCAGGGUUUCCCAUGGGUCUCCUCCUUAGUCCUCAGCCAGCCAGUGACUACCCAGUGUUGCACAGGGAGGGGCAGCCAGUGUCCCAGGGUCAUAUCGCUCAAUGGGAAGCUUGGAACCCAUGCCACGCUGCCAUGUGGCUCCCUGGUAGGCUGGAUAAUCAUAGCAAGAGCACCAUCUGUUUUUCCUGCCAGACCCAGCCCGCAGGGCCAAGAACUCUACAGGUAUUUAUUUUACUGAAUUCUCACGAAAUAACCUCAGAAUACGCUGAAGAUGAUCCUCCCGUUUAGAGAGGAAGAAACCAAGGUGAAGCACGAUCAAGGUACCGCUAGAGGACCGAGCUGAUGCCGAAAGCUUGGCAUUUGAGGGCAGUAUGGUCCUGUCCCUUCUGCUUCCCGCAGCAGGACCAGCUGCUUGGAUGGGGAGCUAGAGAUGGGCCAUAGUCCCUCCGGAGCCAGCCCUCCACAGUCUGCGGUGGGGGGUCUCUCUCUCUCUUCUAUGCUUUUCUGGGCCACCCAGGAGCUUCUUUAAUUAAUUCACGAAUUAUUUUUUAUUUUUUAUGGCCAUACCUGCAGCACAUGGAAUUUCCUGGGCCAGGGGUUGAACCUGAGCGGCAGCUUGACCUACGCCGUAGCUAUGGCAACGCUGGAUAUUUAACCCACCACCCUGGAGCCGGGGAUCAAACCUGUGCCUCUGCUGUGAUCUGAGCCGCUGCAGUCGGAUUCUCAACCCAUUGUGCCACAGCAGAAACUCCCACCCAGGAGCUUCUGGUGGCCUCUCUCCCCUCCUUUUCCCAGUGGGACCUGCCAAGAGGGACCCAUUUUCUUAAAGCCUCUCUGAGUGGCCAACACCCAGCUGGGUGCUCAUUUGGCCUGAUGAUCCAGCGCUUCCAUUUCGUGCGCUGCCUCUGCUCUUGGGGCUGGGUCCACACCUGUCGGCUUGCACCCCGGCACCGCUCCCUCCUCCCUCCACCUUGGCUCUGCCAGUCUUCCCACCUGGGGUCCCUGCUCCCCCUGUUUCACAUCUUUCCACAAGGCCCAGCUCACUCCCAUCCCCUGUUAGAAGCCUCUUUGACCAUUUAAUUCAUUUUCUUCAUGUUAGAGCAUCUUUUGUACCAAAGGGCCCGGAGAAAGGGACCAAGACCGACCAGCGGCUCAACUCAGCCAACACCCAGUGAGCCGAGCAGGAGUGUCCAAGAUAACGCAGGGGCUGUGACGGGCUCGGGACCCAAAGAGGCGAACAGGGUGGCAAGUGACUCGCUGCAUACGUGUGUGGUGCGUGGGUGUACGAGCUUCCUGUGGCUGCCAUCACAAGUCACCACAAACCGGGCGGCCUGAAACGACAGGGAUCUGUGCUCUUACAGUUUCAGAGACUGAACGUGUGAAAUCAGGGUGUCGGCAGGGCCUGCUCUCUCUCUCUCUCUCUCUCUCUCUCUCUCUCUCUAGGGUAGGCCCCUUCCCCGGCGCUUUUAGCUCCUGGGGCUCCUGGGGCUCCUUGCGCUCCGUCCCUGGGCUCCCGGCUGCCCUCCUCUCUCCUCCUCUGUCGUCACACGGCCUCUUCCUGGGUGUCUGUGUGUUCUCGCCUCUUCUCAUAAGGACGCCAGUCCUCAGAUCAGAGCCUUUAGCACUAAGAGCUGCACGUGACCUUGAUCACAUCAGCAAGGGCCCUGCGGCCUGAGAUCAGGACUUGAGCAUGUUCUGGGCGGGGGACGUCAUUCCACCCACAGCGGCGGGGGUUGCUAACUCGUGGUCCCUUCCUCUCUAAAGAGGUGCCCUGCUCAUGGUCUCUGAGCGCAGAGGGAUCUGCCCGGAGAAGCGCCGCAGGCAGACGCCACCGGGAGUGCAAAGCCCUGAGGAGAGACGUGUGCUUGGCACCUUCCGUGACCAGCAAGACCCGUGUGGCUGGAACAGAAGUGGGGAGAGCGGAGGAGGAGAGGAGACAGAGCAGGGAAACAGGCCGGGGGCAGAAUGACCCGGCUGUGGUGGGCAGUUGGAAGCGUAUGCUUGUGGUAACGGGGAGACUUUGGGGAGAGGGUGUGAGCUCUUCAUCUCUCCCUGGGAUCUUACUGACCACUGUGGCCUCUAGCCAGGAAGAGGGGCUGCUUAGACCCCGGUGGGAGGCUGCUGCAGGGGCCUGUGUCGGGAGGAGCAGGUGGGAGAAGUUGGUACUUCCCUGUCGUGGUGCCUUCUCCUCGUUGGUUCUCAAACUGCGUUCCCUGAGUCCUGGGCUUCUACAGGGAUGGUCCCUGUUUGGGGCACCCCCUGGGUAGAUGCCAUUCACUUCGUGAAGAAUAUGAACCCUUUCAGAUGUGUCUUCCUCUUAGCCUGGCCUGGACCCCCUCGUCAGCGCCUCCUCCCCUCUCUGCUAUCACCGGGAGUCAUAAGACUUUUCUCAGCGUUUCAUCUUGGUCCAAAAAUGUCCCUUAGCGCAUCCACCCUUAGCCAAUAACCCAGGAGCAGGGUGACUCAGUAAUGAGUAUCAGACUUGCCGUGGGACAAAACCACUUCCGUGGCGGUAUGUGCGACUUCAAAAGUAACAUCACAACCUACCCCCUGCCUUAGUUUCUUCAACUGAACCGUGGGGGUGAUAGUGACCGUGACACAUGGCAGUGCUUGCAGCUUUCAAGAUCGUGGCCAGGGCGCUCUCCGUGUCUAUGAAGCAGUCGGUUCCCUUUAGCUGCCAUUUCCCUCUUACUUUACGGUAUUAAAUUCAAGUUAGUACUUUCCUUCAGCCAACUCACCGCCAAGCGUCCUUCCUGAUUGGGAUAAAUCCAUUUUCUCCCAAAUCUUUGGGGCCUUUUCUGGAUGACCUAGUUCAGUCACUCAACCAAUGAGUUCAGGGGUGUCUGUGGGGGAUCUGCUCAUGCCAGGUAUGGGAGGUGGUAGGGAGAACACCCGAGAUACAUAAGAAAUGGAGUUCCCGCUGUGGCGCAACGGGAUCGGCAGUGUCUUGGGAGAACUGGGUGGCAGGUUUGAUCUCCAGCCUGGCACAGUGGGUGAAGGAUCCAGCGUUGCCACAGCUGCAGCUUAGGUCAUGACUGUGGCUCAGCUCUGACCCCUGGCCCAGGAACUCCAUAGGCUGCAGGGUGGCCCCAAAUGAAAAAAUGAAACAAAACAAAAACAUAAGGAAUGCUCACUUGCAUUUGAAAGCCAGAUACAGAUUUUCUUUUCCCCUUGUGGCAAGUCAGAUAAAGGGACACAAUCAGGGAGUUCCCACUGGCUCAGUGCAUUAAGAACCCGAUCAGUAUCCAUGAGGAUGUGGGUUUGAUCCCUGGCCUCGCUCAGUGGCUUAAGGAUCUGGCAUUGCUGCAAGUGGCAGUGUGGGUCACAGACAUGGCUCAGAUCUGGCGCUGCUGUGGCUGUGGUGUAGGCGGGCCACUGCAGCUCUGAUUCAACCCCUAGCCUGGGAACUUCCAUAUAACGUGGGUGCAGCU